AUUUUCUCUGUGAUCGCUUUUUGGCUAAGAUCAAGUGUAGUAUCUGUUCUUAUCAGUUUAAUAUUUUUCUCUGUGAAGUUAAGUUUAUAAAAAUUUCAAAUGGAGACUCUUUGUUAGCUUAGAAACUUGUAAAGAAUGUGUAGUGAUAGGGGUCAUUACACCUCUU
rfam:Myotis davidii contig196648, whole genome shotgun sequence.